GCACAUGUUGAACUGUCAAAACGGGUCAAACGCAAAGUAUGUGAGUAAAACAUGUGCUAAAUGCAAGAAUUAUUUCCAAACAAUCCCAAUAUCCAACAAUAUCACCGAUGAAAACAAAGAGAAAAUAAUUAAAAUCACAAAUUUAACUGAGUUUUCUAGUGCAAAUUUUACUUUUUCCAAGCUUGUCAAUUGGUGUUGCCCUAGAUUCGAUUCGAAUAUUGUUGUGCGAGCGAGAUGGAUAUACGUGCGACUGUGUAUAGUGGUCUGAACCAUUCAAAUCACAACAAAUUUACAUUCAAAUGAUGGCGAGUAGUUUCAAUUCUCACCACUGCGUGCCCAAGUGUAUAUUCAAUAUAAUAAGCGCAAUUCAAUGAAGUGGGGUUUUGCACGCUGAAAAGUAAAAAUAACAAACUUUGGUCUGUCUGUUCGAGUCAAUGGUUAUUAUUGUAAAUUGAAAAAUGUCCGAGAAAGGAAAACUCACGUACAGCAACAGAAAGCCCGAUUCAACAAGAAAAAGUAAAUUGCCGCUUUCGAAAAAUCGGUUUUCCAUCGUGGGCCGAGGAGCAACACUCUCACGACCGUCACAUAUUCCACGUCCUUCAUCCAUUGGGCCCCGAGUGGUUCUACUGUCGAGUGCGACUCGAUCAUCGAGUGGAACCCGCUUAUCGCGAGAUACAAUUGGCCGUUCUUCAGGUGGCUUGCGUCGUUAUGGCAGUGACAAUUAUUUGAACACGCCAAGCCGAUUUGCGACAAUGUCAACGCCGCUCCUUGGCCGAUCACCAGCUGUGCGCCACUCAGUGAUGCCACCAGACAGUUCACGGAAAUCAAAACAUGAGAACAUGAUAAAAGUUCAGAAGAUUCUACAACGUGACGAAUCGUUCUAUGCUGAUCUGAAUCUCAAAAAUGGUUGCUUAAAAACAAUGACCAUCAAUCAAUUCUACAUGAUAAUAAGACGUUUCGUUCGCUUGAUUUGCGGAAAGGAUUUGGACACAUUCAUAAAGGGUGGUGACCCGAUAAAUGGCAUUCUUAAUUUUAUCGAAUCCGUUGAGUACCCAUUCGUUGUAAACAAAUCCAUGCUUAAGACACCCAAUGCACCGCAUACAUUUGAUCAAAUUGUGGUGAUGCUUUCGUGGUUGGGAAGUGUUAGCAGCGUGUCAACUAUAGCGUCCGAUGAUUCAAUAUUGGACAAGUGUCUAUUCGUCAAGGAUGAACAAUUCCCAAAUGAAGAAUACACAUCGAUGUUUUCCAAGGCCAUUCAAGAUGGUUAUCUGUUGUGGAACAAUGAAAGCGAUGACCAUGCAACAUUUAUCGAUCGUUUCACCGAUGAACUCAUCGCUGCCAAAUUGGAUCACAAGGUUGAAACAGCUGCUGAGCUACAAUCAUUAACCGACAAUCUGAAAAUGAAAUCGAAAGAAUUGGCUGAUAAUCCGGUGCAGUUGAACAAUUUGCAUCAGUUUGAACAACUGGAAUCGAAAUACGUCGAAUACGAGACCAUGGAACAUGAUCUGGAGAAUCAACUGAAGGAUAAGCGUGAUCGAUUGGCUGCCGUACAAGUGAAUUGGAAAGAUAUACGCGCCAAAGUGCAACAGUCUCAAUCGAAAAUUCAGGCACUUGCCACUCAAAUUCAACAGCAAGAGCACAGUAUUGCCGACUAUAGAAAAUUGGCCGAAAAUUUGUCUAUGAUGAGAACAGCGGUUGGAACAGUUCAAAAUGAAAUCAAACUCAUUCGAGAUGAGGAUUCAAUUCAGCAGAUCACGCGGGCCAGACUAUUAAAGAAGGUUUCUGAAGCGAUUAAUAAGAUCAACGAUCGCGGAAUGCAAAUCGUAAAAGUGCUAAACAACACUCAAAUUAAUUUUGGCGAAAAGGAAUUAAACCUGCUACAUCUGCCGGCAAGUCCAUCAGUUCAACUAGUAAAAGAUGUGGAACAAACGUUGUCACAUAUUUUCAGUGUCGUGAAAAUUCAAAAGCAUAAAACACAAAUCGAACUCGACAAGGCAACUAGCAAAUUAAACGUUCUGAAAGCAGAAUCGGAAGCAUUGACGAAAGAAUUUGAUAGUAUCAAGAAAAAAUAUGAGAAGAUCUCUUUCGAAAAUGAGGUGCUCGAGAAAAAAUCGACAAUAAAGAACAAAAAGAAUGAAAGCUGUACUCAUAAGUUGACUAAGCAAGCUGAUGAGGCCAAAACAAAACACAGUAUACUCAAAGUUAAAAUCGCCGCCGCGCAUGCUGAACAGAAGCGAUUUGAGGAUGAAAAUAUUAAGCUAAUGGAACUGGCAGAAGCACAUGCCAUGAAAAUCAUUGCAGAAAAACAAGAUUUGGUCAAUCAUUUGGAUGAACUUGAAAAGGUGUUAGAUGGGCAUUUAGAGGGUUUUGAUUAUCCAAAAUAAGCGUGAAUGUUGCAACUUACAUGGGCAUACAUGCCCGAACAUUACCGAUUCUAGUCACAGCGGUGAAAACUUAAAAAAUGAUUCGGUUUUAGUGGAAGUCUUUGCACACAAUGAUACUUUGGUUAAGUCUACUAAAAAUUUAAAUUUGAAAUAUCAAAAAAAGAAAUUCUUCAAAAAAACAACUACAAGAGAUAAUAUUUUUUCUGUCCGUCCGUCUGUCCGUAGUUUUUGCCCGAUCUUUCUUAAACAAUUUAGAUAUUAUUUCAUGGGUUGAAGUCGGUACCAUCGAAAUUAAGCAAAAUGACUGACACACGAAGGGAUCUAAGAGAGCUUGAUUGCUCAAAUUUGUCAGUGGACUGGAAGAAUUGAAAACGUAAUUUUUUGGUGUACAUGAUCGCCAACAACAAAAACAACCAAACGGAACCAACAAAAAUCGCAAUUUUUCUUUGGUUGAUUGGAACGAAAGGUGCCAACAUUUACAACACUCUGUUUCCGAACGAUGGGUCCCAGCAACAGCUUCUGCAGCGGCAACAACACGGGACGAAACUACACAGCGAACAUUGAAUGAAGUGUUGACAGCGUUUGAUAAUCACUGUUUGCCGCAAAAGAAUGUGACGAUGGAAUCGUACAAAUUUAACAACAUGGUGCAAAAGGAACGUCAGCCGUUCAGCGAAUUUUUAACGGAACUUCGUGCACAAAUCGAACGCUGUGAAUUCAAUUGCACAUGUGGAUUGUCGUACGAAAGUCGGAUGCUGCGUGAUCGCAUAAUCACUGGAGUGUAUGACAAGAAACUCCAGUUGAAAUUACUCGAUGGUCGUGAUGAAACAUUGGAUCGUGUGGUGGACAUAUGCAAAACGUUUGAAUCAGCAAAUGUUCACAAAGGCAUUUUGGCAUCGAAACAGUCAAUUGCGGCAAUAGCCCUAUCGGAAAACACAGACACCGAUUCAGUUGAUGCAAUCAACAUGGGCAAGAAACGUACGUGCUUCAACUGUGGUGGCGAUUGGGACAGAGAGCAUAAGAGCAAAUGUCCAGCCAAGAACUUCACGUGCCAAUGCGGGAAAAAGGGUCAUUUUCGCCGAAUGUGUCGAAGCAAAGGAAAGAAAUCGGAAGUUUCAUCAUCGGGUAGAUCUCAGUCGAAAUCGAAUGACAAGUCAGCUGUUGACAGUCUCCGUUGGAACGAUGUUUCAUCGUCAGAAUAAAUUCAAUCGGACUGAAAAGAAAGCGAUGGACCAAGGCAUACCGAAUAGGGAAUAAGAUAAGUAAAAUUCAAAGUCGAUUCAGGAGCAGAUGUCAAUUGCAUUCCAUUGAGAAUCAUCAAGAAAAUGAAAAUUAAAAUGAAACACGAGCAAAAUGACUUUCCUGUAUUCGAUUAUAGUAACAAUAAAAUUAAGAUUUAUGGUAUUGCCGAAAUUAAAA